rnacentral:rRNA from 1 species
UACAGAGGUCUCAAGCGUUGUUCGGAUUCAUUGGGCGUAAAGGGUGCGUAGGCGGCGCGGUAAGUCGGGUGUGAAAUUUCGGAGCUUAACUCCGAAACUGCAUUCGAUACUGCUGUGCUUGAGGACUGGAGAGGAGACUGGAAUUUACGGUGUAGCGGUGAAAUGCGUAGAUAUCGUAAGGAAGACCAGUGGCGAAGGCGGGUCUCUGGACAGUUCCUGACGCUGAGGCACGAAGGCCAGGGGAGCAAACGGG